rnacentral:rRNA from 1 species
AGUGAACGCUGGCGGUAGGCCUAACACAUGCAAGUCGAACGGCAGCACAGUAAGAGCUUGCUCUUACGGGUGGCGAGUGGCGGACGGGUGAGGAAUACAUCGGAAUCUACUUUUUCGUGGGGGAUAACGUAGGGAAACUUACGCUCAUACCGCAUACGACCUACGGGUGAAAGCAGGGGAUCUUCGGACCUUGCGCGAUUGAAUGAGCCGAUGUCGGAUUAGCUAGUUGGCGGGGUAAAGGCCCACCCAGGCGACGAUCCGUAGCUGGUCUGAGAGGAUGAUCAGCCACACGGGAACUGAGACACGGUCCAGACUCCUACGGGAGGCAGCAGUGGGGAAUAUUGGACAAUGGGCGCAAGCCUGAUCCAGCCAUACCGCGUGGGUGAAGAAGGCCUUCGGGUUGUAAAGCCCUUUUGUUGGGAAAGAAAAGCAGCAGGUUAAUACCCCGCUGUUCUGACGGUACCCAAAGAAUAAGCACCGGCUAACUUCGUG